rfam:Triticum aestivum genome assembly, contig: Triticum_aestivum_CS42_TGACv1_scaffold_375371_5AL
CAUCUACUUCCUCUGUUCCGAAUUACUUGUCUUGGAUUUGUCUAGAUACAAAUGUAUCUAGACUCAUUUUAGUGCUAGAUACUUUCGUAUCUAUACAAAUCCAAGACAAGUAAUUUGGAACGGAGGGAGUAGUUA